ACAUGCUUACAACACAACGUUAAUGCACUGGAUCCCAUUAGAACUCCGUUGUUAAGCGCACUCGGGCUAGAGUAGUACUGGGAUGGGUGACCGCCCUGGAAGUCCUAGUGUUUUACAUGCC
rnacentral:rRNA from 1 species